rnacentral:misc_RNA from 1 species
UCUCCGUUGGUGAACCAGCGGAGGGAUCAUUACAGAGUUAUCUAACUCCCAAACCAUUGUGAACUUACCAUUUGUUGCCUCGGCAGAACUUACCCUGAACCUACCCUGGAACGGUGUAAUGGGCUGCCGGUGGACUACUAAACUCUGUUAUACUAUUGUAAUCUGAGCGUCUUAUUUUAAUAAGUCAAAACUUUCAACAACGGAUCUCUUGGUUCUGGCAUCGAUGAAGAACGCAGC